rnacentral:rRNA from 1 species
GUCGAGAAUCUUUCACAAUGGGGGCAACCCUGAUGGAGCGACGCCGCGUGGAGGAUAAGGUCUUCGGAUUGUAAACUCCUGUCAUGCGUGAACAAGGUUGCUUGGUUAAUACCUGGGCAAAUUGAUGGUAACGCAAGAGGAAGAGACGGCUAACUCUGUGCCAGCAGCCGCGGUAAUACAGAGGUCUCAAGCGUUGUUCGGAAUCACUGGGCGUAAAGGGUGCGUAGGUGGCGUGGUAAGUCAGAUGUGAAAGCCCGGGGCUCAACCUCGGAACUGCAUCAGAUACUGCCAUGCUAGAGUACUGGAGAGGUGACUAGAAUUCUCGGUGUAGCAGUGAAAUGCGUAGAUAUCGAGAGGAAUACCAAAGGCGUAGGCAGGUCACUGGACAGUUACUGACACUGAGGCACGAAGGCCAGGGGAGCGAACGGGAUUAGAAACCCGGGUAGUCC